AUACGUAGGUGGCGAGCGUUGUCCGGAAUUACUGGGUGUAAAGGGCGUGUAGGCGGGAGAGCAAGUCAGAUGUGAAAGCCCAAGGCUCAACUUUGGGACUGCAUCUGAAACUGUUUUUCUUGAGUACUGGAGAGGGAAGCGGAAUUCCUAGUGUAGCGGUGAAAUGCGUAGAGAUUAGGAGGAACACCAGUGGCGAAGGCGGCUUCCUGGACAGAGACUGACGCUGAGGCGCGAAAGUGUGGGGAGCGAACAGGAUUAGAUACCCUGGUAGUCCACGCCGUAAACGAUGGAUACUAGGUGUAGGAGGUAUCAACUCCUUCUGUGCCGGAGUUAACACAAUAAGUAUCCCACCUGGGGAGUACGGCCGCAAGGUUGAA
rnacentral:rRNA from 1 species